CUAGCUGUAAAAUAUUAACCCACACCAAAACUCGCCAGGGAAUUACGAGCCCAAGCUUAAAACCCAAAGGACUUGACGGUUUCCAAUCCCCCUAGAGGAGCCUGUUCUAUAAUCGAUUCUCCCCGAUCAACCUCACCACUUCUUGAACACACAGCCUGUAUACCUCCGUCGCAAGCUUACCCUAUGAAAGCAUAUUAGUGAGCUUAAAGAUUUUACACCAACACGUCAGGUCAAGGUGCAGCCCAUGAACUGGAAAGAAAUGGGCUACAAUCUCUACCUUAGAACAAACGAAGAACUGCAUGAAACACAGUUGCUGAAGGCGGAUUUAGUAGUAAAAAGAAAAUAGAGAGUUCUUUUUAAUUGGGCACUAGGAUGCGUACACACCGCCCGUCACCCUCUUCAAUAAUAAAUCUCUUUAACGUUUAUAACAUCACAUAUUUUUACAGAAGAGGCAAGUCGUAACAUGGUAAGCGUACUGGAAAGUGCGCUUGGAACAAAAUGUAGCUUAAUAAAAAGUAUCUUGCUUACACCAAGAAUAUGUCUGUAAAAAUCUGACCAUUUUGAGCCUAAAGCCCAGCCCUACUUUUAUAAAUACAGCGCCCACUGAUAAAUACCCAAACUAAAACAUUUUAUUAACCAAGUAAAGGCGAUUAAAAAGUUUCUAGGAGCCUUAACAUCAGUACCGCAAGGGAAGGGUGAAAUAAAAAUGAAAUAAAUUUAAAGCACAUUAAAGUAGGGCUUAAACCCCGU
rnacentral:rRNA from 1 species